UGGGGAAUAUUGGACAAUGGGCGCAAGCCUGAUCCAGCCAUGCCGCGUGGGUGAAGAGGGCCUUCGGGUUGUAAAGCCCUUUUGUCCGGAAAGAAAAGCACGGGAUUAAUACCCUCGUGUUCUGACGGUACCGGAAGAAUAAGCACCGGCUAACUUCGUGCCAGCAGCCGCGGUAAUACGAAGGGUGCAAGCGUUACUCGGAAUUACUGGGCGUAAAGCGUGCGUAGGUGGUGAGUUAAGUCUGUCGUGAAAUCCCCGGGCUCAACCUGGGAAUGGCGAUGGAUACUGGCUCGCUAGAGUGCGGUAGAGGAGAGUGGAAUUCCCGGUGUAGCAGUGAAAUGCGUAGAGAUCGGGAGGAACAUCAGUUGCGAAGGCGGCUCUCUGGACCAGCACUGACACUGAGGCACGAAAGCGUGGGGAGCAAACAGG
rnacentral:rRNA from 1 species